rnacentral:rRNA from 1 species
CAUUAGCUAGUUGGUGGGGUAAAGGCCCACCAAGGCUACGAUGGUUAGCCGGCCUGAGAGGGUGAUCGGCCACAUUGGGACUGAGAUACGGCCCAGACUCCUACGGGAGGCAGCAGUAGGGAAUUUUGCGCAAUGGACGAAAGUCUGACGCAGCAACGCCGUGUGAGGGAUGAAGCAUUUCGGUGUGUAAACCUCUGUCGUUGGUGACUAGAGUUUUCAGGAGUGGAAAGCCUGGAGAUUGAAUGUAGCCAAGAAGGAAGCACUGGCUAACUCUGUGCCAGCAGCCGCGGUAAUACAGGGAGUGCAAGCGUUGUUCGGAAUUACUGGGCGUAAAGGGAGCGUAGGCGGAGCUACAAGUCAGGGGUUAAAGAUCCGGGCUCAACCUGGAAAGUGCCUUUGAGACUGUAGUUCUUGAGUAUGGCAGAGGCUAGCGGAAUUACCGGUGUAUCGGUGGAAUGCGUAGAUAUCGGUAAGAACACCAGAGGCGAAGGCGGCUAGCUGGGCCGAUACUGACGCUGAGGCUCGAAAGUGUGGGGAGCAAACAGGAUUAGAUACCCUGGUAGUCCACACCGUAAACUAUGAACACUAGAUGUCGGGGAGUUGAUUUCCCGGUGUCGGCGCUAACGCAAUAAGUGUUCCGCCUGGGGAGUACGGUCGCAAGGCUG